rnacentral:rRNA from 1 species
CGACUUGGAGGUUGUUCCCUUGAGGAGUGGCUUCCGGAGCUAACGCGUUAAGUCGACCGCCCGGGGAGUACGGCCGCAAGGUUAAAACUCAAAUGAAUUGACGGGGGCCCGCACAAGCGGUGGAGCAUGUGGUUUAAUUCGAUGCAACGCGAAGAACCUUACCUACUCUUGACAUCCAGAGAACUUUCCAGAGAUGGAUUGGUGCCUUCGGGAACUCUGAGACAGGUGCUGCAUGGCUGUCGUCAGCUCGUGUUGUGAAAUGUUGGGUUAAGUCCCGCAACGAGCGCAACCCUUAUCCUUUGUUGCCAGCGAUUCGGUCGGGAACUCAAAGGAGACUGCCGGUGAUAAACCGGAGGAAGGUGGGGAUGACGUCAAGUCAUCAUGGCCCUUACGAGUAGGGCUACACACGUGCUACAAUGGCGCAUACAAAGAGAAGCGACCUCGCGAGAGCAAGCGGACCUCACAAAGUGCGUCGUAGUCCGGAUCGGAGUCUGCAACUCGACUCCGUGAAGUCGGAAUCGCUAGUAAUCGUGGAUCAGAAUGCCACGGUGAAUACGUUCCCGGGCCUUGUACACACCGCCCGUCACACCAUGGGAGUGGGUUGCAAAAGAAGUAGGUAGCUUAACCUUCGGGAGGGCGCUUACCACUUUGUGAUUCAUGACUGGGGUGAAGUCGUAACAAGGUAC